UACGAAGGGGGCUAGCGUUGUUCGGAAUUACUGGGCGUAAAGCGCGCGCAGGCGGUUUUUCAAGUCAGUGGUGAAAGCCCGGAGCUCAACUCCGGAACUGCCAUUGAAACUGUAAAACUUGAGGAUGAGAGAGGUGAGUGGAAUUCCCAGUGUAGAGGUGAAAUUCGUAGAUAUUGGGAAGAACACCAGUGGCGAAGGCGACUUACUGGACGAUUGUUGACGCUGAGGUGCGAAAGCGUGGGGAGCAAACAGG
rnacentral:rRNA from 1 species